rnacentral:misc_RNA from 1 species
GAUACAUAUACAUUAUGGUCUCAUCCUCACAUCUCGCAGACCUCACGUUAUUGACCUCAUUUUAAUAACAAUACCAAAAUAUAUGAUAAUGUUUUAUAUGCAUCGAAAUCAUGGAGGAAAAGCACUUCAUCACAUGAUCCUGCAUGGACGGUCCUCCUCGCUUAUCAGCUCAUACGUCUUGUACCCCUCGUAGCAUGGGGCUCCAUAUCCCACGGGUGGGGCCACCGGUUGGCACGGUGGUGGCGCCGGCGCAUAUGCGGCGGCUCUGCCGCAGGAGCAGCACUGGCACACCCCGUGGUACAUGCAGCAACAGACCGGUCCAUAAAACAGGUACUGCAGUGGCGGAGAAGCCGGUUUCAGCUCCACCACCGGUUCAGGAGCAGGUUUUGCUGGCUCCUCUGGUGGUGGAGGUGCAGGUUUCGGCUCCUCCACCGGUUCAGGAGCUGGUUUUGCUGGUUCCGGUUUCGGCGGCUCCUCCACAGGUUUUGGUUGUUCUUCCGGUGGUGGUGGCACCGGAUCCGGCGGUGGUGGAGCGGGUGCUGGCACCUCCUCUGGUGGAGGAGGAGGCGGCGGCGGCGGGUCUGGCUUCGGAGGAUCCGGUUUCUUGAUAUCAAUUUCCUUGAUCACCUUGCUUGCCUUGCAACAUAACUUCUUGAUGAGCUUCUCGGGAUCGAAAUUGCCAGAGACGAUCACCGUGCCCUUCUUCUCGUCGUAGAUGAUGGCUUGUAUGUUCCAUCGAUCUUGGAGUUCACACAGAACUUUUCUGAUCUUCUUGUUGCAUCUGCAGCACUGAAGAUCAACCUUCAUGAUUAUUGUUGGCAUCUUCUUCAAUGGAGUGCAGGAGGAGAAGCCGAGAGAGAAG